CGUGCUAAUCUGCGAUAAGCGCCGGUAAGGUGAUAUGAACCGUUAUAACCGGCGAUUUCCGAAUGGGGAAACCCAGUGUGAUUCGUCACACUAUCAUUAACUGAAUCCAUAGGUUAAUGAGGCGAACCGGGGGAACUGAAACAUCUAAGUACCCCGAGGAAAAGAAAUCAACCGAGAUUCCCCCAGUAGCGGCGAGCGAACGGGGAGGAGCCCAGAGCCUGAAUCAGCAUGUGUGUUAGUGGAAGCGUCUGGAAAGGCGCGCGAUACAGGGUGACAGCCCCGUACACAAAAGCGCAUGUGCUGUGAGCUCGAUGAGUAGGGCGGGACACGUGGUAUCCUGUCUGAAUAUGGGGGGACCAUCCUCCAAGGCUAAAUACUCCUGACUGACCGAUAGUGAACCAGUACCGUGAGGGAAAGGCGAAAAGAACCCCGGCGAGGGGAGUGAAAAAGAACCUGAAACCGUGUACGUACAAGCAGUGGGAGCACAGGUUUACCUGUGUGACUGCGUACCUUUUGUAUAAUGGGUCAGCGACUUAUAUUCUGUAGCAAGGUUAACCGUAUAGGGGAGCCGUAGGGAAACCGAGUCUUAAUUGGGCGUUAAGUUGCAGGGUAUAGACCCGAAACCCGGUGAUCUAGCCAUGGGCAGGUUGAAGGUUGGGUAACACUAACUGGAGGACCGAACCGACUAAUGUUGAAAAAUUAGCGGAUGACCUGUGGCUGGGGGUGAAAGGCCAAUCAAACCGGGAGAUAGCUGGUUCUCCCCGAAAGCUAUUUAGGUAGCGCCUCGUGAAUUCAUCUCCGGGGGUAGAGCACUGUUUCGGCUAGGGGGCCAUCCCGGCUUACCAACCCGAUGCAAACUGCGAAUACCGGAGAAUGUUAUCACGGGAGACACACGGCGGGUGCUAACGUCCGUCGUGAAGAGGGAAACAACCCAGACCGCCAGCUAAGGUCCCAAAGUCAUGGUUAAGUGGGAAACGAUGUGGGAAGGCCCAGACAGCCAGGAUGUUGGCUUAGAAGCAGCCAUCAUUUAAAGAAAGCGUAAUAGCUCACUGGUCGAGUCGGCCUGCGCGGAAGAUGUAACGGGGCUAAACCAUGCAC
rnacentral:rRNA from 1 species